GCAAUAGGGAGUCACUCACAGGCUUGGCUUGUGCUGCGCCUGUAGUAAUUAACCCCUUCAUCCCUAGCUUUUCCUCCGCUGGAAGUUAGCCACGGCGUGGGCGGAGGCAUCAGCAGGUCUCUCUGGGACUCGAAGCAAAGCGGGGGAGCAGAGCAGGCAGGGAAAUAAGGGAAAAGAGGCCAAGAGCUGCUCCAGGCAGAGCAGCGCUGUGUGCCUGGAGCAGUCCACUCGUGGGCUGGACAGCUUUCCUGGGAGAGACAGAGUGCUGGCACUGCAGGGCCUGAGGGCCGUUACGAUUUUACGGAGCACUCGGAGGAACAUUACUGGGGUGAGCUGGGGAACUCAAAAUGUGAAAAUUACUCUCCAAAGAAAGUUUGGCAUUAAAGUUUGAGAAACCAGGCAAGUCAACCCUGCAGUCCUGAAGGCCUGAAGCCCAGCAGGACCCAGCCCAACAUGACAAGGAAGAUGUUCUGCCCUUGCUGAGCUUUGGAAGGACUGCUCUGCAUGAAUCCUGGAUGUCCGUGAAUAGAUGAAAUUGAAAUUGAAGGAUACCUUCCAAACUGGUAAACACAUCAGAAACACUAUCUGGGUCACAUUUGGGCAACAGGGUUCGCUCUGUUUUAAGUGCAAAUGUGUUACUGACAAUUUAGAUGAACUUCCUGAGGAGUGUUUGAAAUUCCUGGCACAUAUUUGGUUUCCCAUCUGCUAGAAGGUCUUUGAUGAGCCCACAAAGAGACACUGGACUGGAGCUGCUACUCUUCAUCUCUGGUUGGACUUCCUAUGACUGACCAAUUUGUAUUUUUUUUGCAUUUCUAUUACUUUGAUUCCCAAGGAGAAAAAGGGCUUACAAAGGACUGUGUGACAAGCUGUUGGGGCAGAGAUUUCUGUGAACUCUCCAUCCAUGUGCUGUCAUCAACUUGUUCCAACACUGCCAGUUCUUUAUGUCUGCUAAAAUUGUUAUGCAGAGUUGAAUUUUGCCCUUGUUCAGGGCAGAUCUAACAGUAAUUAAUUUGCUCUGUCAGAGGGAACUUGAGGCUAAACUGGGUUAAAGAUCCUAAAAACUUUCUGCCUUCUCCUGAAGUGUCCCAUGUUUAAUGUGUAAAUAGAUGAUGUGUUCUUUUCUUUCAUGCCCUUCUUCACCUGUUAAAAAAUAUCUUAUAAGGAGCUUGUGUUGUAACAUACCAAACAUACCAAAACACAAUAUCCAGUUGAAUUCAAAUUCAAUAUUUUCUAUUUUUUAGAGCAGAAGAGAGCCAUGGCAGGAGGGCAGGGGCACCAGAGUUUUGGAAAGGAAUUUUUUUCAGGAAUGGAAGCAAGAGUCCUGUUGACAGAGCUUGAAGUACUUCUUCUUCACACAUAGAAAAAUCAGGAGCUUGUGUCUUUGCAAUGCUUCUCAAGAGAUCCCCCUUGCAGGAGAAAGGUUCCCACAAGUGCCAUCCCCUGGGCAGAGCUGCAGCACAGCUCCGGAGAGACUCAGCAGCUGGGAGAGAUGAGGUUCAGGGGACCAAGCUGCUCUUCCAGCAUGGAAGAAAUGACAAAGUGGGGUAUGUUCUCUAUUGACCAUCUCCUGCUCCAUGGUAUCAUAAUUUUGCAGUAGUGCCUUGUCUUUUCAACUCAAUAUCCUGCCUCUGGACACCUCCUGAGACGUGUCACGACCUGAACUUGCUGAGCAGUGCUUCUGCCUGAGAGCUGCCUCCCAAGCCACAGCAGAGCUGGUAGCCCUGGCAAGGGUGAAAGGAGGGCUCAGACAUGAUGAUGCUGUUCUACACACAGGUGAGCAUAGGGCAUGUAUAUAAAACCACAGUAAAUGUUUGCUGAGACCUCACCCCCAAGUUAAUAGCUUCUGCCUCUGGUGGGAAUUUCUGCAUUUUCUUCUGCUGAGUGCCUUUUGACAUAUUAAAGGCAUGGCAAGGACUGGGAUCCCAAGGGAUCCAUUGGUCUUAUUUCUGUGGAUGCUUGUACCCUGGGUCUAUUUGAAGAAGGAUGAUUCAUUCAACUGCUUGGGCUUAUGGGUCUGUGUGUCACUUCCCAUUGUAAGAAGGGUCUUGUUGGCUAUCAUGGACUGGUUGGGGCUAAUUUUGGGAUAGAUCUAGCACGGAAAAAAUGCUUUACGCAGCAAGACAACAGCUGAUUCAGUUUCUUCUGUGUUGGAUGCCGGUGUUUAGAGUCUCCAAGGCAGGAACUUUUAUCAAGCAACAUCAAACAGAUGUUCCUCAUCGUGUUCCAGCUGCAUUGACUGGCAACCUGCUCAGUCAAACACUGGAGGGGGACACAGGCAUUCAUUCUGCAUGGACAGCAGUUUAUUAAACAAUCCACCUGGAAACAGCAAAGGAUCUUUUAAAAGAAGUAUCUGUACCAGUGUUCAUUGUAAAUGCACCAGAAGCACUUGUAGUCAUGGCACUCACAAGAGCCAUUUCCAGGAAGGGGCCUGAGUUACUGAUUUUGCAGGAAAAGUGAAGAAAGUUUUCUCUGGAUUUUCACACCUGCUGGUCAUGGUAUGAAUCCACACUGGCAACAUCUUUCUGAUGGGGUGCGUGGUGAACUAUGGCACUGCAGGAUACUGCUAAGCAUUGUGGUUUGGGAUGGCCGAAGGGGGAGUGAUCAGCAUCAAAAUCCCAGGGUUUUCCAUUGUUGAUCUAAAGAAAAGGCCCCUCUUAGUGGCCAUGAACUUCAGCAGAUGUUUCUGGGCCAUCCAGAUGCAAAGAUGUAAGUGUGUUGUUCCCAGAGGUAACACCUUCACAGGGAUGUUGCAGGAACUGAAGAGGUUAGGAGAGAUUUGGAGAGUGGGGCAAUAUCAGACAUCAGUGAGUGUCAGCUCAGGUGAUUGUUUCAGGGUUCUGCCCUGUCUGGACCCCAAAGCAGGGCACUAAACCAGCCCUGUUUGCUGGCUGCCAUGGCUGUGCUGGUUCCCAUUGCUGGCACAAGCACAUCUGUGCUGCUUUGUGUGCAGGGCAUGCAUUAGGGGGUGGCCCUGGACAUCUGGACUCUCCAGCUCCAAGGCAUGGCCAGAGGAUUUGCCAUCGUGUGCUGCACAGGCAGGACAAGAGCUCUUCGCAGGCUGAGUGAAGGCAGCCUGGAAUUUCCUUCAGAAACCUUCAUGCCUCACCAGCACUGCCUGGGGUUGUGCUGGAAACUGCUGGUGACAGCUUUCUUUGGACAUCUGCUUAUCCAGAAAGACCGGAGUUUUGGGUCCAGCGGAGAGUAACUGACGUGGAGCCAAAGGGAACAUCUCCAUCCACAGUGUGGGAAGGUGAGAGGUCUUCCUGCAGGUAGAAUGUGUCCAAUAUGAUGCUGCUUCAACUGCUUUGAGAGUUGUGGGCUACUUUGAGAGAGGCACAGGUGGAACUAGAGCACAGGACCCUGCAAAGUGACUCUCUGCAGCUGCCACUGCUGGAACCACACCUCAGCCCCCACUACAGCUGGAACUGCACAUCAGCCCCCAAAGUACAGCAUGCUCUAAGGGUGUAGUUGAUCUAAGGCUGAUUGCUCCAAAUC